rnacentral:piRNA from 1 species
UCUUUCGCAGAUUGUUUCUGA